AUGUCCUACGGGGGGCAGCAGUGGGGAAUAUUGCACAAUGGGGGAAACCCUGAUGCAGCGACGCCGCGUGAGUGAAGAAGUAAUUCGUUACGUAAAGCUCUGUUGGUAGUGAAGAAAGAUAGAGGUAGUAACUGGCCUUUAUUUGACGGUAAUUACUUAGAAAGUCACGGCUAACUACGUGCCAGCAGCCGCGGUAAUACGUAGGUGGCAAGCGUUGUCCGGAUUUAUUGGGUGUAAAGGGAGCGUAGACGGUGAGACAAGUCUGAAGUGAAAGACCGGGGCUCAACGCCG
rnacentral:rRNA from 1 species